AAAAUAAAGUAUGUUUGAUGAAGCUUUUAAAGAAAUCUUCUUUAUACUAAUACAGCCCCUUAUUAUGUUUAUACCUCUCACUUUCAAAUUAACCUUUGUCACAUUUUUUUCAUUGGGAAACAAAGAUUUCAAGAUUCCGGAGACACAUACCUUUGAAUUCAGUCUUACUGAUUUCAACCACUGCACCACAACACAAAUUGUUAGUUAUACUACCCUCUUUUAUACUUAUUUUAUUUUAAAAUUUCUUUAUUUAUUAAUUUUUUUUUUUUGAAAACACAUUCUAUCUAAUACUUUUCUUUUUUAGACUUUACCAAAUGAAUUGUCGACAUAUGUUCGUGACUUUUCUUUUUUAGACUUUACCAAAUAAUAUCCAUCAUCUAAAAAUAAAUAUUUUAUCCAACUAAAUAUGAAAAUAAAAUAUAUCUUUUAUAAUUUAGGAAAGGGUCAUGCUAGUUAACAUGGACACAUGUUAAACUACGUAAAAGUAUAAAAUUUGCAUUUAGUGAUAUAAAAUAUUUAAUGUUUAAAGAGUUGAAUGCACAAGUUCCAAUAAAAUGAUACCACAUUUAUCUUCUUAAGAUGUGCCCUUAACAUUUUCGUUUAGGAAAAGAGUUAUGUUAACAUGUGUCCUACGAGUUUCAGGUUCCCUCCAUUUAUUAUAUCUCCAUUUAUUCUCCAUUUAGAGAGAGAUAGACACAUGAAAAAAUUAGUGGGGUCCACAAAUUAGUGGGACCCAGUUUUAAUGGGUCCCACUAAUUCUUAAUGUGUCUAUCUCUCUCCAAAUGGAGAAUAAAUGAAGGGAUAAUAAAUGGAGAGAACCUGAACUCGUGUCCUACCUAAAGGUAAAUAUUUAAUGAUAUGAAAUAUUUAAUACUAUUUAAAGAAUUGAAUGCACAAAUUCCAAUAAAAUGUGAUCGCAUUUGUUUUAUAAAUAACUUCUCUUACAUAAUAUUUAGAAAUUUGAGUUGUUAUUGUUACUACAUAUCUUUCCAUUAAUUCAAUCAUAAUUAUCCAUCAUAAAACCUUCAUGCGAGGAAUUAUUGAUCAAACUUAAAAAUUCAACUUGAAGGUUUUGGUUUAUAGGUAAAAUAGCUAGUAAGUCUUCUUGUAUUUUUAUAGAUUGAUGUAAGGAUCCAUUAAAAUGCAUUAUUAGCAUGUAAUAGUUGCUAUUAGAAUUAUAAGGGUUGAGUACCCCUUGUACUCCUUAUAAUUCAAUUUUUGCUUAUAAAAAAAAACUUAUACAAUAGAAAUAGCCUGGAAAUUUAGUAUAAAAAAAUAAUGAAUUCAUUCUUAUGAUUGAUAAGUUUUUCAUGUGAUUUUAUAUUAGGUGUUGAAGGGACAAAUACAACACUUUGAUAUACUUAAGAGGUAUUUAAUGAUGAUAUUAAUUUUGUGAAGGGUUUUUACAAUUUUAUAAAAGUAAAAACUAUUCGAUUGAUGUAAUAAAAGAGAGCAUGAAGUUUUUUUUUUUUAUCCUAUCAGACAACUCUUAUAAAUGAUGAAGUGCAUAUUAUAUAUAUUUGAUACAUACAUAGAGAGAAAUAUGGCUCAAAUUGUGAACUUUGUUUAUGUUAUGAUUAUAUUUAUUUCUGUAGUUUUUGUUACAAGGAAUGUUGAUGGUAAACUAUCUUUUUAUCCAACUAAAUAUGAAAAUAAAAUAUAUCUUUUAUAAUUUAGGAAAGGGUCAUGCUAGUUAACAUGGACACAUGUUAAACUACGUAAAAGUAAAAAAUUUGCAUUUAGUGAUAUAAAAUAUUUAAUGUUUAAAGAGUUGAAUGGACAAGUUCCAAUAAAAUGAUACCACAUUUAUCUUCUUAAUAUGUGUCCUUAACUUUUUCCUUUAGGAAAAGAGUCAUGUUAACAUGUGUCCUACCUAAAGAUAAAUAUUUAAUGUUAUAAAAUAUUUAAUAUUAUUUAAAGAAGGAAAAUGUUAACAUGUGCACCAAAGACACAUGUUAAGGAAGCAAAAGUAUAAAUAAUAUAUUGAAAUAUGUGCAUUUAACUUCUUAAGCAUUAAAUUUUUUUUUAACAAUAAAUGCAAUUUUCUAUAUUUAGAACCUUAACAUGUGCCUUUUAUGCACAUGUUAACAUGACCCUUUAAAGAAUUGAAUGCACAAGUUCAAAUAAAAUUUUAUCGCAUUUGUUUUAUAAAUAACUUCUCUUACACAAGAUUUAGAAAUUUGAGUUGUUACUACACAUCUUUCCAUUAAUUAUAUCAUAAUUAUCCAUCAUAAAACCUUCAUGCGAUUGCGAGGAAAUAGAAAUAGCCUGGAAAUUUAGUAUAAAAAAAUAAUGAAUUCAUUCUUGCCUUCAUUCUUAUGAUUGAUAAGUUUUUCAUGUGAUUUUAUAUUAGGUGUUGAAGGGACAAAUACAACACUUUGAUAUACUUAAGAGGUAUUUAAUGAUGAUAUUAAUUUUGUGAAGGGUUUUUACAAUUUUAUAAAAGUAAAAACUAUUCGAUUGAUGCAAUAAAAGAGAGCAUGCAGUUUUUUUUUUUUAUCCUAUCAGACAAAUCUUAUAAAUGAUGAAGUGCAUAUUAUAUAUAUUUGAUACAUACAUAGAGAGAAAUAUGGCUCAAAUUGUGAACUUUGUUUAUGUUCUGAUUAUAUUUAUUUCUGUAGUUUUUGUUACAAGGAAUGUUGAUGGUAAACUAUCUUUUUAUCCUUUGCAAAUUUUCUUUAAUUACUUCAUAUACAAUAUUUUAUCCUAGUAACAUUUUUCUUUCUUUUUUCAUUACAGCAAUUUUUAAAUGUUCUCAAGAUUCUGAUUGUCCUCCAACUCUUUGCCCACCUCCUAUUAUACCGAGGUGUGCUACCAAUGUUUGUCUAUGUAUCAGAAGAAAUCCCUUCAUUAAAUAACCAUAUAUAUGUUGGUAAAUUAUAUAAAAUAAAAAUACAUUCAUAAUCUCUUUAGUUACAUAAAAGUCUGAUUAUUUUUUUUUUGUCAAGUAGUCUAGUGGCUAGAAAUUCUACCCUUAAAUGGAUAACUGGGAUGACCGGGGUUCGAAUCCCGACCCCUAUACAUAUAUAACGCACCGGUGUCCUACCAAAAAAGGCACUAUAUAAAGAUUGAUAUGUUGCAAAAUGGUUUUUUGCCCUUUAAAUAUUUUUACGAAGAAGACAUCUUCAUUUCUAAUUAUCCCAUUCAUAAAGAUAGAACAAGUGAAGCAAGCGUAAUAAGACAAUAUUUUAAAAAAAGAAUGGCCAAACAAAAAUAAGAUAGAAUUUCUAUAAGUUUCAAAGAAGUGUAUACUCGUCAAGGAGUGUUAUAUGCUCACUCCAUUCAGGUAAAUAAAGAAACUAAUUGUAAUCAUCAAAUUUUAUUUAUUUUCAUAUUGAAAUUUGAGGAGGGGAUGUAAAUAUAGAUUCUUUUAGGGUUAAUUAUGUUUUUUGUCUCUAUAACUUUUCAGAAUUUCGUUUUUAGUCUUUGAAUUUUUAUUUUUUU
rnacentral:lncRNA from 1 species